AGAAACAGCUGUUUGUUUAAUAGAGGCCGUCACCCAAAAACAUCGCUGAGCCUCCCUCAGACCGCCACACUCCAGGAGAGAGGAGCUGGAAAGCCUGAAGCCAGCUGAGGGGGAACUCUGGAGCCUGGAGGCCAUCUUAGCCCUGUCUAGAAGAGAGCUGCCAUGUGCACAGGAAAGUGUUCGAAGUGCAUUGGGAUCACCCUGUUCCCACUGGCGACAUGUGCCAUUGUCUCCAACAUUCUCCUGUACUUCCCCAAUGGACGAGUUCUGCAGCUCAGCGAGAUAACCGAUCUGGUCUGGUAUUUCCAUGGCAUUCUGGGAGCUGGGAUACUGGUUAUUUUGCCGGCAUUCAUGAUGCUGGGAGCAGGAGGAGCAGGAUGUUGCGCUAACAGAUGUGGGGUAAGUGGAUAUUUAUGUGUUG